GAAUAAACCAGUGGGAAAAAUGAGUCAGGAACGAAGGGAAAGAAUGACCAGAGAAAAAUAUCCCAGGAUCCAAACUUCCCACCAGUGUUUUCACACGCGUUGCCACCUCGAUUUUCCCGGGAUUAGGGGCUGGCUGGGAACGCUGGGUGUGUUUGUGUUGGAUUCCUGAGGGAUAAAGCUAUGCUAGGUCCUUAUCCGUGGAUUUUAGUUUGGAGGGCUCCCAGCCCCUGUUUUCAUGUGAGAUCUUUUCCAUCUGAAACCAAUCCCGAAGAAUUGCAAAGCGAAGAUGUCCCGAUCUCCAGGGCUUUUUUUGCUGUGCAUCCCUGAAAAACUGGCUUCAUCAAGGCCUGGAUUCUCCCUCCCUCUCCAGUUUCCCACAGGAGAAUCAUCUCCAGCUCACCGAGGACUUUGCAAGGUCUGGAAAUAAACAGAGGAACCCCAGGAAGGCAGGGAAACAUCA